CCAUUAUCCAACCCGCGACGUAAUCCCUUGAGGUUGUUGGGUACUUUGCUUGAGAACAGCAGAGUGCUAGAGUGGAUCUGUCACAGGCCAUCAUCUCAUCGAGGAGAUGCAAUUUGGAUUGGAUGGAUCACAACGGGUGUAACCUGACGGGGAUGGAUCACAACUGGCGCAAUGAGAUGUUUUAAUUUUAAUAUUCAGAUACUAUGUUUUGGAAUGUAAGUCAUGGAAUGUAUUGGAACUGUGUAUUGGAAUGUAUUUUGAUGUGAGUGUAUUGGACUAUAUUGGAACUGUGUACUGGAAUGUAAGUGUGCUUUGAAUGGCCAUAUAUAGCAAGUUGGAGUUUUGUGUA